AGUCAUCAACCCCGAUCGUUUCGCGACGGCCGGCGGUUGGAGCUGGGGGACUUUGCCGCCGUUUUGGCGGCUCCCCUCAAAUGCGUCGGUUGGGCCUGUGGGUCGAACUCGACUGGGCGUUGUACCAUCCUCGCUCUAACGAGACGGACCCCUCCCGUGCCCCGCCCCGACCUCGCCUCUCUUUGGGUGGCGGUCAAAUCAAGCCUUUGAAAU
rnacentral:misc_RNA from 1 species